CCUUGCUUUCUGCACAAGGAAGAUAUCAGGGUAAACAAUGCUAUUUGAUGGCAAUUUACUUCAAUCUGUGAAACGGAUCUUUCACGAUGUAAAUGGACAAGCGAAAAACUGACCUGCCUUCCAGAUCACCCUGUCCCCCCCUUCAGCCCUGGAAUGUGUAUUUAAAACAAAUUCUAAGCAUGUUAAACAGCCCAUCCCUAAUUCCAGAUGACCAAGCAAACCAUGAAAUGAAAGUCACACAGAUUAAACCUGGAACACUGUGGGAGGUCACCUCACAAGAAGUGACCAUCAGGAGGUCUGAAUCACUGAGUGCCUUUUGGAAGGCUGGCUAACACUGACAUUGAGCAAAUAGCUGAAAGAGGCCAUUUGAAGAGUUGAAUUCUGGAAAAGAUUUGAAAACUGGGCAUACCAACCCUGACCAGCUAAUUGCCAAUGAAGAAGAAUGAAUUACUCUGCAAUUAUAUUAAAGGUGAAAGAGGUCCCAGGGAACAAUUCUAACAAAAAAUGGACUGACAUGGGAUAAAAGCUUGAUUAGUGACAGCCAUGACUAUUAAGAUGUUGAGCUUGAGUUCAAAGGAAGGACAAGAGCAACUUUAUGUUUGACAAUCUUUAGACAAGGUCACCACCCUCCACCAAGUGUAUGCCAACUUAUUCAGGAAGAUGAACAUGUCUCUCUCUUUCAAGUUGAAGGCUUUCCUCACAUUCGUGAUGAUUCUUUGCUGUCCUUACUGAAAAAUGAGAUACUAAAAAAGCAAAUUGGAAUCUCUACAUGUAUGAAUGGAGUUGCUUAAUGGAAGAGUUGCACUGCAGGGUGAUGACAUAACAAGCCACAUCUCACAUCUGAUUUCUCCAGAAAAUAAAUAUCCCGUCUCUUGUCAAGGGUGGAUAGGGAAGGGGAGUCUAUCAGCUGAGCAGGGUGGAAGAGGGAAUCUGGGCCCUAAUAGCACUAUAUUUUUUUUCCAACCAAUUUCUCUGUUUCUUCGCCCCUAUUCAUCAUCUCUGCCCUUGUUAACAGCUUGUUGGAUAAAUACAGAGUUAAAAAGAAGUUACUAUUUUUUAGGGCUUAGUGUGUACCAGCCACUUUAGCUGAUUUAAGAAAGUUCCAUUUGAGGCUGCCAUCAACCAAGUCUUCUCAUCAAACAGUGCUUUUUGAAUGAUGAUAAGAACGACUCAAAACAUCCUACCUUAUAUGAUGCGAAACGGAAGAGAUGGCAUUUGCUAAUAGUCCAUCAAAGCUGCACUGGAGAAUUCUAGAACAGGAAUGGGGUGAGGAUGCAGUGGUAAAUGGAAUUGAGAAAUCCUUAAAUGGCUAGGGAUACAAUACCAGUUCAGAAAUAAUAUUGGUAUUAGACUAUAGAGAGCUAAGGACAAUGGCAGGUGAUAUGUGGGAAGGAUGGAGAUUACCAUGCGCAGGACUCUAGUGGUUAAGAACAAGGAUCUGAGUUUGAGUUCUAGCUUUCAUGUCUCCUCACCAACUCUGGCUUCAAUUUCUGUCUUUGGCUGAAUUCUCCAUUAUUGCUCUGAAUCUCUCCCUUGCUUGUGCUUUUCUGGAGUCAGGCCAUGGUGAAUACCACCCCAGUGCCUUCACUCCACAGAGUACCCCAGACAGAAGAUAAUAUAUGAGCUUCUCUACAGAUGGUUUAGAAAAGAGUGAUGGGGCAGUGGUGGAGAGAUGGGUACUCACAGCACUUUCAGAGAGAUUGACUAAAGAUUGGCUUUUGGCCAUCGUGGUUUUUUUAAAAUCUCUCUCUGCAACUGCCACUGGCUCUUAGCUUAUCUCUAGCUAAUUUGCUGGCUAGCUCUCUUUUCUCCAGAGCCCCCUCUGCCUCUUUCCAUGCUUGCUCCUGGGAGCUCUCAGAUUCUUAUUUUAUUAUAAGCAAAAUUUAGUUUUCUUUGUUUCAAUUUUCUACCUUAAGGAACUGUACAGAGACCAUCAUUUUGUUGAUAAAUGGCCUAUUAAUGUAUUUUGCUAAGCAAAAGGUUAUCUGAUCCAGAAAGGAAUGUUGCCACCCCUUACAGAGACAGAUGUGGCUACACAUUUUAUCAGUAAAGAAUAGUUCUGUUUUUCUCCCACCUUCAUAUUGUACGGUCGCAUUUUUAUGAAUAAAUAUGUGUGUAUGCACAUACA
ensembl:lncRNA